rnacentral:lncRNA from 1 species
GAGCUUGGUGCUCAGGAAAGCAAUGCAACAAGGAAAUGAAUGUCUGAAAUUAGUUUCAAGCCAGUAGUGAAAUGCAUUUCUGCAUUUUGUUUCGAAAGUGGGUUGCCCUUGUAAAAGGUGGCUGGAGGAAAACCAAAUGAGUUCCUUUUUUUUUUUUUUUUUCUUUCUUUUUUUUUAGCAGUCUCAGGGAAGAAGCAGGAACACCAACCUUAAUUCCUUCACUUGUUGAGGAAGAUUCAGAAUCUCCCUUUGCAUGGAGGAGCUCAGAACUUCAGGUGGAAGACAAAAUGGUUGCAGACACAGAGGACUUUCCAGUCUGGCACAUCUCCCACGAGGCACGUUACAACUAUGGUCAUUACAGAAGAGUUCCCUCCAUCACCCAAAAACUUCUGACCCAAUGCCUCUAUCUGCGUAAACACUGGAGAUCUUGAAGUCUUGGCUGUCCCCCCACUACUUGCUUGUAGUCAUCGAGAUCCAAAGUUGUCUUGAACUACAUUCACAGCGAAGAAG